rnacentral:rRNA from 1 species
AACGAACGCUGGCGGCGCGUCUUAAACAUGCAAGUCGAACGGUCUGUAGCAAUACAGGGAGUGGCGGACGGGUGAGGAACACGUAGGAAUCUACCUUGAAGAGCGGGACAACUUUGGGAAACCGGGGCUAAUACCGCAUAGUACAGAGAUGUUAAAGGGCUAGCAAUAGUCGCUUCGAGAUGAGCCUGCGGUCUAUCAGCUUGUUGGUGAGGUAAUGGCUCACCAAGGCUACGACGGAUAGCCGGUCUGAGAGGAUGAUCGGCCACACUGGCACUGAGACACGGGCCAGACUCCUACGGGAGGCAGCAGUUAAGAAUCUUGCGCAAUGGGGGAAACCCUGACGCAGCGACGCCGCGUGAAGGAUGAAGGCUUUCGGGUUGUAAACUUCGGUAGACUGGGAAGAAGAAAUAACGUUCGUUGAGGGCGUAUAGUGACGGUACCAGUCUGAAGCCCCGGCUAAUUACGUGCCAGCAGCCGCGGUAAU